ACAGCUCAAAUUUGAAAUCUGGCCCCCGCGGGGUCCGAGUUGUAAUUUGCAGAGGAUGCUUCGGCGUCGGCCCCGGGCCAAGUCCCUUGGAACAGGGCGUCCGAGAGGGUGAGAGCCCCGUACCCGCCCGGGCCGCCUUCGCCGUGUGAAGCCCCUUCGACGAGUCGAGUUGUUUGGGAAUGCAGCUCUAAGUGGGAGGUAAAUUCCUUCUAAAGCUAAAUACCGGCCAGAGACCGAUAGCGCACAAGUAGAGUGAUCGAAAGAUGAAAAGCACUUUGGAAAGAGAGUGAAAAAGCACGUGAAAUUGUUGAAAGGGAAGCUCUUGCCGCCAGACUUGCCGCGGUCGCUCAGCCGCCCCCCGGGGCGGCGCACUCGUCCGCCGGCAGGCCAGCGUCAGCUCGGGCGGCCGGACAAAGGCCCCGGGAAUGUGGCUCCCCUAGGGGAGCGUUAUAGUCCGGGGUGCAAUGCGGCCAGCCUGGGCUGAGGACCGCGUUCGCUAGGACGCUGGCGUAAUGGCUGCAAGCGACCCGUCUUGAAACACGGACCAAGGAGUCUAACAUCUGUGCGAGUGUUUGGGUGUCAAACCCAUGCGCGUAAUGAAAGUGAACGGAGGUGGGAACCCCGCAGGGGGCGCACCAUCGACCGAUCCUGAUGUCUUCGGAUGGAUUUGAGUAAGAGCAUAGCUGUUGGGACCCGAAAGAUGGUGAACUAUGCCUGAAUAGGGUGAAGCCAGAGGAAACUCUGGUGGAGGCUCGCAGCGGUUCUGACGUGCAAAUCGAUCGUCAAAUUUGGGUAUAG
rnacentral:rRNA from 1 species